rnacentral:rRNA from 1 species
UACAGAGGUCUCAAGCGUUGUUCGGAUUCAUUGGGCGUAAAGGGUGCGUAGGUGGCGUCGUAAGUCAGGUGUGAAAUCUCGGGGCUCAACCCCGAAACUGCAUUCGAUACUGCCGUGCUUGAGGACUGGAGAGGAGACUGGAAUUUACGGUGUAGCAGUGAAAUGCGUAGAGAUCGUAAGGAAGACCAGUGGCGAAGGCGGGUCUCUGGGCCGAUACUGACGCUGAGGAGCGAAAGCGUGGGGAGCGAACAGG